rnacentral:tRNA from 1 species
GGCGCCAUCGUCUAGCCCGGUCCAGGACGCCGCCCUCUCACGGCGGAAACUGGGGUUCAAAUCCCCAUGGCGCUACCA